rnacentral:rRNA from 1 species
UACGGAGGGGGCAAGCGUUGUUCGGAAUUACUGGGCGUAAAGGGCGCGCAGGCGGCUGCUCAAGUCAGGCGUGAAAGGCCUGGGCUCAACCCGGGAAUUGCGCUUGAGACUGGGCUGGCUUGAGUGCGGGAGGGGCGAGUGGAAUUCCGUGGUGUAGCGGUGAAAUGCGCAGAUAUCAGGAGGAACACCAAUGGCGAAGGCAGCUCGCUGGAACGGUACUGACGCUGAGGCGCGAAAGCGUGGGGAGCAAACAGG